UACAGAGGGGUCUAGCGUUGUUCGGAAUUACUGGGCGUAAAGGGCGCGUAGGCGGCCCUCUAAGUCGAACGUGAAAUCCCCGGGCUCAACCCGGGAACUGCGUCCGUUACUGGAGGGCUCGAAUCCGGGAGAGGGAUGUGGAAUUCCAGGUGUAGCGGUGAAAUGCGUAGAUAUCUGGAGGAACACCGGUGGCGAAGGCGGCAUCCUGGACCGGUAUUGACGCUGAGGCGCGAAAGCCAGGGGAGCAAACGGG
rnacentral:rRNA from 1 species